AACGAACGCUGGCGGCAGGCUUAACACAUGCAAGUCGAACGCCCCGCAAGGGGAGUGGCAGACGGGUGAGUAACGCGUGGGAAUCUACCUAGUUCUACGGAACAACAGAGGGAAACUUCUGCUAAUACCGUAUACGCCCUAUGGGGGAAAGAUUUAUCGGAAUUAGAUGAGCCCGCGUAAGAUUAGCUAGUUGGUGAGGUAAUGGCUCACCAAGGCGACGAUCUUUAGCUGGUCUGAGAGGAUGAUCAGCCACACUGGGACUGAGACACGGCCCAGACUCCUACGGGAGGCAGCAGUGGGGAAUAUUGGACAAUGGGCGCAAGCCUGAUCCAGCCAUGCCGCGUGAGUGAUGAAGGCCUUAGGGUUGUAAAGCUCUUUCAGUGGGGAAGAUAAUGACGGUACCCACAGAAGAAGCCCCGGCUAACUUCGUGCCAGCCGCCGCCGUAA
rnacentral:rRNA from 1 species